rnacentral:rRNA from 1 species
GACGAACGCUGGCGGCGUGCUUAACACAUGCAAGUGGAGCGACGAACCAGGGCUUGCCCUGGGGCAGAGCCGCGAACGGGUGAGUAACACGUGGGUAACGUGCCCCGAUGAUCGGGACAACCCGGGGAAACCCGGGCUAAUACCGAAUGUGCUCCCCCCACACCAGUGAGGGGUGGAAAGGAAGCUUCGGCCUCCGCAUCGGGAUCGGACCGCGGCCCAUUAGCUGGUUGGUGAGGUAACGGCUCACCAAGGCUGCGAUGGGUAGCUGGGCUGAGAGGACGAUCAGCCACACUGGGACUGAGACACGGCCCAGACUCCUACGGGAGGCAGCAGUGGGGAAUCUUGCGCAAUGCGCGAAAGCGUGACGCAGCAACGCCGCGUGGGGGAAGAAGGCCUUCGGGUUGUAAACCCCUUUCAGGAGGGACGAAGCGUGGGCGGUUAAUAGCCGAUCCACGUGACGGUACCUCCAGAAGAAGCCCCGGCUAACUACGUGCCAGCAGCCGCCGUAACAC